CAACAAAAUUAUGCUUUCUAUAUAAGUAGCGUCACUUGUAAAGAUGUCUAUGAACUAAUAUUAAGAUGUGAAAAAAAUAUGAUGUAACUUACCCUAAUACUUUGGAAUUAAAGAUAUAUGUGUAACAUUGCAACACGGAACCCUCUUCAUGGACUCAACCUCUGAGCUAGAAUACAGAAAAGAUUCACAUACAGUAUAUUCCAUGGAAAAAUAGAAUAUUUAUCGACUAUGUAGAAGAUUUAGGAAUGGACUGUUCCUCACACAGUGCUUAAUGGAAGACGCCCGGAAUGUUGCUUUUUUUUCAAAUGUUGUCAGAUAGACUUUCGGGAGAAACAACAACAACAAAACUACAUGAUCUGAUAAUGAUGCGUCAGAGAUGCAAAGCCCAGGUUAUUUAAGAGUAAAACGAGGAGCAGAAGAAAGCUCAGACUACCAUCCACUACAUGGAAAAUUGAAAUAAGACUGGCAAAACUCAGAAAGAGGAACAGAAGGACGAAGAAGGUACCAAUUUUGAUGCACCAGGUUUCGCAUUUCGACAAAUUAUGUCUCUUCAGUGAUGCCCAUACCAAAUUAAAACGUUGGAAAUCCGAAAUAAUCAAAUAAAAACUUUGAGGAACUGAAAAAAGGGAGAUCCAAAGAUCGGAGCCAAAUACGUCGAAGGAUCAGAGCUAUGCAUGAGGGAGAUAACCAUUCGUUUUGAAAUAAAUUUCUAAAUUGUACCACAGAAUUUAAAUACAUGUCCGUUUUUUAAAGCUAGUACCGAAGUACUUAGCUAGUUGGCUGUAGAGACCCAAGGGAACUAUUAGUCCACCAGCAGAGGCCUCUACCCAGGGGUCAUAAUGCUAAUCUUAUACACCAGAUGCGCCUUUCGAUAAAUUAUGUCUCUCUUUAGUGACGCUCACGCUCAUGCCAAAACUUUGGAAAUCCGAAAUAUCUAAAUUAAAAAAAAACUUUGAAGAAUUAUU